AGGCUGGGGAGGGAGCUAGGGAGGUGAGCUCUGCUCUGCUCUGCUCGCCUCGGCUCGGCGGAGGCUGAGAUCCCGGCGGGCGCCUCCACCCCGGCGCCCGCUGAGCCCUGGCACCUCGAACUCAGGGCCAUGGCGUUCCGUGGGCGGGAACGUGCCGGGAGGACCGCGAGGGAGAGCACGGAUGGGCACACUGGGCUCGAUGUACAGCUUCCCACUACCCAGGAAGGAAGGAAUUGGCCUUGAUUUUGGCAACCUCCUGCUUGUGUAAGCCCUUUCUUAGCCAUUGUCUCAGUUGAUCACCCAAUGGUCCUGAAAAAUUGGUGAUGCUGUCCCCACUUUACAAAGGCAUAAUCGGAGCCCCAAGUCAGAGGACUAGGAAGUUGGGUUGGGCAUCAGAUGGGGCUUGGUGGAUUCCGGAGCACAUGCUGUCUCCCUGCCCUGUGCCGACUUCCUGCAGCACACGUUCCAAACGCAGGCAGAGGGACUGAAAGGAGAAGAGGCCCCGAUGGGCAGGGCGACUUCUCUGCAUGUUCUCAGGGGAGGAAGGCCGCUCCUUCUCAGGUGCAGGAGUGAAGUCUGAGGAAUGCUCAAGCAGUCCUUGCAGGUUGAAGAUGUGGCUGGGCAAGAAGCCACAGGAGCUGUAGAAGUCAACAGAAUCUUUUCAGACCCAAAAGAAAAACCUACUCCAUCCGGUUGGCUUGGGUGCCCUGUGAGAAGCCUUCCUGAUUGACUGAAAGAUGAGGCUAAGUUCUAACAAGCUGAGUGGCUCCUUCAAGAAGCCUGUGUGCAGGAUGGAAGUGGAGAGGCCAUAGCCUCCAGCCUGGGCAGCCCACUGGCACCUGGAGCCACCUCAUCUUUGCCUCCCCUUUGCUCCUGUGUCUACAAGCUGUCCAUCCCAGCCCACCCUGGUUUCUCCUGUGUCUUUUGAGCUGAGAUUUCUCUGAAAUGGAAGUCCCGUCUCAAGUCUAAUAAAGACUCUUGAUUACUGAA